CAGGGUCAUCUUUUCGUGCAUUGAACUAAGUUGAGUUCAUUCCAGUUACUUCCCUUGUAUCAUUUUUAGCCAAUCAGAUCAUCGUUUUGAAUUUCCCUCCAAGUGUGUAUUGAGUUCAUGACUUUUGAGUGAGUUAAAAAGUCUAAAGUUUGAGAAAAGUUGAAUUUUUGGAGGCCAGAUAUAUUUUAAUAUGUUUUAAGGAUAUUGGAUUAAUAUUAUGCACCCAGUCACUGUGUGAAUGAUGUGUUGAUUGCCAGGUGUACAUUGUAGUUAGGUGUUUGAUAUGUUGAUUGUAAAGCAUACAAUUCCACAAAUUGUGUGCAGACUUGUUAACUAUUGUUGAUUCAGAUUAUUUGAGAUUGAGCAACAAGUGGAACUGUGUUAUUGACAGUAUACCUGAAAGGAACUUUCUGGUUUGAAUAACAGUAGAGUGGUUUUAUAUAUUAAUGUGAUUUAAUAUCAGAUUACACAGUGACAGUGAACUUUUAAUAAAUUAUAUAUCAUACGAACCAAAACCUAUUUGGAUUUGUUGUUACUUUAAUUUAACUGCAAAUACCCAAAGGU